ensembl:lncRNA
CAGGGUGGAAGGAGAUGGAUGGUAGAUCAGAUGAAAAUUAUCCAAAGAGCACUCCAUUCUCCACCAGACUCCAGGUUUCACCUCAUACUUCUGAGCUCCGGAAGCCCUGUUUGGCAGCUUGAAGUGGGGUGGAAACUUUGCCUCUGUGGUGGGGGUCAAUAUCUCCCAUAACAGGCAGGCACUGUAGCGGAAGACAAAUGCACAAGCCGAGUUCUGAAACUGGCCUCAGCCUGUAGCAUGAGAUACUUGUCAUUGGACUUAAUGCCACCUAGCAAACCAAGAUGAUUUUGACCGGGAAGACUUAAUUGCAUCUCUGAAGACCACUUCCACUCCUACUAAGGUUACUUAAUAAGUGCUGAGUCUCGCACAGAAAUUCAACCUGCAUUCAACCCACCAUAGGGGACGCAAGGAUUUCUCCAUAUAGCUCUGGAUGUCCUGGAACUCACUCUGUAAACUAAGCUGGCCUCAAACUCACAGUGUCUAUGAGUGCUGAGAUUCAAGGCAUGCACCACCACUGCCUG